GUUGCAGUGAGCUGAGAUUGUGCCACUGCACUCCAGCCUGGGCGGCAAGAGUGAAACUCCGUCUCAAAAAAAAGGGCAACUAAGGAGCAACCCGGAUUCAGCCACCACAUGGCUGGAAGGUCACUAUUACAGAAUUGAAAGGACAACAAUAGUUUCUGACCACUGACUACUGACCACCAACCAUAUUGCAAGCUGACCACAUGAAGUCCCUACCACACAUCUAACUCAUUUAAUCUUCACAAGGUCUCUGUGAGGCAGGAAUUAUUACCUCUGCUUUACAGAUGAGGGGGACCAUAUUCAGAAAGGCUACGAAACGUGACUAGGGUCAUACAGCUGGUACUUGUUAGAGCCAAGAUUUGAAUCCAUCCCUAUCCGACUUCCAAAGCCUGUGUUCUUGUCACCUUCCAGCCCACCUGGCCUCUACACAUGUGCUAUGAAAUCCUCCUGGUGCCUGCAAAGAAAUUUAUGGUGAAACCUCCAAAUUGAAGCUUAUUUUUUUAGUUUAUAUACCUCCCACUCAGGAUAAAUAGUCAUCAAAAUCUCCAAAGUAAAAAAGAAAGAGUGAGGGAAAAAAUGGCUAAAAUCUUCUGAUCACAAGCCCAUCUGGGAUCUUUCAGAUGCUGAAAAUUCCAGAAGGCUGGAUCGUCAAGUUUCAGCUUAGAAGUUGCAAUCAGAAAUCUUUAUUGAAAUAAGUUUAUUUCCCCCCGAGGACUCUGCUGGUAUAACAGAUGAGAGAUGAGAGUGCCUACUAGGGAAGAAAGUGGCGAGAAAGCGAGUGAUGCUACUCUAUCCGGGAAUCUAGAACAAACCCACAGAGGAUCCACAGGGAUGGAGUGUGUGUAUGGGGAGGUGGGCCAGAUGAAACAAGAAAGGCAGAAAGCUAAUGGUUGUUGAAAUUGAAUGAUGGACACUUGGAGUUCAUUGUGCCAGUCUAUCUGCUUCUCUGUGUGUUUGAAAAUUUCACACAUGUACACAAAGCCAUGACCCUCCAACAAGAUGACAUCCUUAGAUGUUAAUGGCCUGGGUUCCAUGCCUUCUUAGACACAGCACCCUUAUGGGGAGAGGUCAAGGCUGAAAUCAGGUGGUUCCUCCACCCUGUCCUGGUCUGUUCCCUGCUGGCCCCUCAGCAAGGGUCUCAGUACGGCCCACAGUCAAAACCCUGCAGCAAGUUCUGCUUUUAUAGAAGACCUUCUGUAAGUGGUUGAAACUACUGUUUUUCAGAAUCAGGAAGGAGCAUUCAAAAGACUGCUAAACCCUCAAACGAGAACAAGAUAAAGAACAGGCUGAAUCAGCAUGCGACAGGAGCCUGGUUUCAUCCCUAACUCUGGUCAGCAACUUUUGAAGUAUAUACCAAGGACCACAAGUUCAAGGAAGUGGGCAGAAGAAAGAAUGUGAUGCAGUCAUGCAGAUCCAUCGCCACUAUUCAAGACACAGCCCAGAGCGCCUUCCAAGGGCUUUCUGUUCCACUGAGAAUAAAAUUCAAAUCCUCACAAAAGAUCUCAGGGUGCAACAGGACUACCUGGCCUCUGCUCAUCUCUGUUCACUCAUUUCCUCCUGGCCCACCUGCUCUAGCAAUGUUCCUUGAACUCACCAAGCUCAUUUCCACUUUAGGACCUUUGCACCUGCAGCUCGCUCUUGCUUUGAUACUAUUCCCUAAGUCUUUGCAUGAUUACACAGAUCAAACAGAUCUCAGACCAAAGGUCGUCUUCUCAGGCCUUUCCAGACCAUUCUAGCUAAAGUAGCAUCCCCAGUCACUUUCUAUUAUAUCUUGUUUUCUUUUUUAUAUCACUUGUUACUAUCUGAUGUUAUUAUUUAUUUGAUUGCUUUUUAGUGAACUGUCUCUCUCCAGUAGAAUGUAAGCUCCAUGAGGGCAGAUUCUGGACUGUCUGGCUCACCGCUGCACCCACGGAACCUAGGAUAAGGAAUACCUCUUGAUGAAUAAAUAACCCUCUGGAUAGGUCAGUAGCUACUUUCAUAUAUAUAUGAAGGCAUUUUUUUUGAUGAGGCACUUUUUCUUAAUAUAUGAAUAAGCAAAAAAAUAUAGUAUCUAUAUUCAGUAAAAAAUUAUUUUGAAAAAACUAAAAUGAUAUAAGGUUGGGGCUGUCCUGGAGAAUCUAAGGUAUCUAGUCAUCAUAUAUAUGAAAUUCAACUUUUCCAUUGUUUGAUAAAUGUUCCUGAUGACUCAUGUGUCUUUAGCACUAGUUUAUCUGUCAAAUGGUCACUGGUAAGAGAAAGAGCGCUCGCUGUGAAGGGAUGGGAUUCCUGAAUGGGGAUCUGGAUACACAGCUGGGUUUGUGUGUUCAUGCAUGUGCACAAGCACCUGCAGCUCAGAAUCUACAACCAACAGCUCUUAGAGUCAGUGUGGCCUUGGUAUACUUUGUUUUGUAUCCUUUAGGGGUGUGUGUCUCCAACUUUAACGUACAAGUCAAUCACCUGGGGAUCUUCUUAAAAUGCAGAUUCCAAUUCCAGGGUGGGGUCUGAGAUUUUAUAUUUCUAAUUAGCGCUUACUCAGGUGACAUCUGUGCUGCUGGCCAGAGGCUCACACUUUGGCAAAUCUCUAGUACUGCAAAAUUGCCGUCUGAGAAACAUGCCUCCAGAUUAGCUAAGAAAGGAAGCGCUAACCACAGGGGACUUGGUCCCCAAGACCCAAAAAUAUAGAGAACCUAAUUUCAAACAAGCAGAAAGGAACUUCUCUGGAAAGAGACGACUCAGCUUUCUUCAUUUGUAAUAAACCAAAUCUGUAAACA
rnacentral:lncRNA from 1 species